CUGCUAUCAAGGUGGGACUAAGCCAUGCUAGUUGUACGCUUCUAACUAGAGAAGAGUGGCAUACUGCUCAGUAACACGUAGCUAACCUACCCUCUGGAUGGAGACACCCCCGGGAAACUGGGGCUAAUCCCCAAUAGAUAUAGAGGCCUGGAAUGGUUCUAUAUUCAAAUGCAUAAUAACCAUGUUUGUUAUGUGCCAAAGGAUGGGGCUGCGGCUGAUCAGGCAGUUGGUGAGGUAAUGGCUCACCAAACCUUUGACCGGUACGGGCCGUGAAAGCGGUAGCCCGGAGAUGGGUACUGAGACAAUGACCCAGGCCCUACGGGGCGCAGCAGGCGCGAAAACUCCACAAUGUACGGAAGUACGAUGGGGUUACCUUGAGUGCAGUCUGAAAAAGGUUGCUUUUCCAUAGAGUAAUAUCCUAUGGGAAUAAGAGGGGGGCAAGACUGGUGUCAGCCGCCGCGGUAACACCAGCCCCUCGAGUGGUGGGGACUUUUAUUUGGCCUAAAGCGUCCGUAGCUGGCUGUUUCCGUCCCCCGUUAAAUCCAGCGUCCCAAGCGUUGGGCUGCGGGUGAUACCAAACAGCUAGAGGGUGGGAGAGGUCAGCGGUAUUUCUGGGGUAGGGGCGAAAUCCUUUGAUCCCAGGAGGACCACCAGUGGCGAAGGCUGCUGACUAGAACACGCCUGACGGUCAGGGACGAAAGCUGGGGCAGCGAACCGGAUUAGAUACCCGGGUAGUCCCAGCCGUAAACGAUGCUCGCUAGGUGUUGGGUCGGCCAUGCGCCGCCCCAGUGCCGCAGGGAAGCCGUUAAGCGAGCCGCCUGGGGAGUACGGCCGCAAGGCUGAAACUUAAAGGAAUUGGCGGGGGAGCACCACCAGGCGUGAAGCUUGCGGUUUAAUU
rnacentral:rRNA from 1 species